UAGGGAAUCUUCGGCAAUUGACGAAAGUCUGACCGAGCAACGCCGCGUGAGUGAAGAAGGUUUUCGGAUCGUAAAACUCUGUUGUUAGAGAAGAACAAGGACGUUAGUAACUUAACGUCCCCUGACGGUAUCUAACUAGAAAGCCACGGCUAACUACGUGCCAGCAGCCGCGGUAAUACGUAGAUGGCUAGCGUCGUUCGGAUUUAUUGGGCGUAAAGCUCGCGCAGGCGGUUUCUUAAGUCGGAUGUGAAAGCCCCCGGCUCAACCGGGGAGGGUCAUUGGAAACUGUGAGACUUGAGUGCAGAAGAGGAGAGUGGAAUUCCAUGUGUAGCGGUGAAAUGCGUAGAUAUAUGGAGGAACACCAGUGGCGAAGGCGGCUCUCUGGUCUGUAACUGACGCUGAGGCUCGAAAGCGUGGCGAGCAAACAGG
rnacentral:rRNA from 1 species